GUAAUCGCUCCAAAGGAAUUAACAGGAGAGCAGAGAAAUGGGGGGGAGGUGGUGGGGGCCAGGAAUAAAAAAACGAACGAAAGCUUGGGUAGGGAGAAGUAGCCAAUUCUUGUCCCAGGAACCAGUCUGUAAGGCCACAUGGCAGAAAAGAGCUAGGCUCCGCCAUUAAAGAGCCUGGAAAGGGGUGGCCCGGGUAGGGCCAAGCGUAGGAAAAUACCAAACUGGGACAUGUUAAGGAUUUGGGGUUUUAUUCUGCAGGCCACUGAGAGCUAUUAAAGGAUUUUAUGGGAAAGGAUUUGCAUUGUAACAAU
rnacentral:lncRNA from 1 species